GACGAACGCUGGCGGCGUGCCUAAUACAUGCAAGUCGAACGCAGUGGGGACGGGUGAGUAACAAGUGGGUAACCUCCCAUCAGAGGGGAUAACACUUGGAAACAGGUGCUAAACCGAUACUGAUGGAUGAACCCGCGGUGCAUUAGCAAGUUGGUGAGGUAACGGUUCACCAAGGACACGAUGCAUAGCUGACCUGGUAGGGUGAUCAGCAACACUGGGACUGAGACACGGCCCAGACUUCUACGGGAGGCAGGAGUAGGGAAUCUUCGGCAAUGGACGAAAGUCUGACCGAGCAACGCCGCUUGAGUGAAGAAGGUUUUCGGAUCGUAAAACUCUGUUGUUAGAGAGGCGGUAUCUAACCAGGAAGCCACGGCUAACUACGUGCCAGCAGCCGCGGUAAUAC
rnacentral:rRNA from 1 species